rnacentral:rRNA from 1 species
AUAAAUACUUCUCAGCAAUCGCGGAAAAACCGGACACGAGGGAAUCCCGAGUGCUCAUCUAAGGUAGGGGCUUUUCUUAUGUGAAAUAGCAUGAGGAAUAAGGGCUGGGUAAGACCGGUGCCAGCCGCCGCGGUAAUACCGGCAGCUCUAGUGGUAGCCACUUUUAUUGGGCCUAAAGCGUCGGUAGCGGGUCAGGAAAAUCCUUGGGUAAAUCGUACAGCUUAACUGUGCGGCUCCGGGGGAGACCGCUGGAUUUGGGACGGGGGGAGGUGGGAGGUACUCCUGGGGAGGGGGUGAAAUCCUGAAAUCUUAGGUGGACCACGGUUGCGAAAGGGGUCCAACCGAAACGGCUCCAACGGGGAGGGAGGAAGGCUAGGGGCGCAAACCGGAUUAGAAACCCGGGUGGUCCUAGCUGUAACCGCUGCGGACUUGGUGUGGGAGAUCCUACGAGGGUGUCCAGUGCCGGAGAGAAGUUGUUAAGUUUGCCGCCGGGAAAAUAUGGCCCCAAGGUUGAAAACUAAAAGGAAUUGCCGGGGAAAAGGGCAAUUUCCCGGGCCGCUAAAUUAAUUUCGCCCUAUAGGGGGGGCGGAUUAAAAAUUCACGGGCCGGGGUUUUAACAA